rnacentral:tRNA from 1 species
GGUCCGGUGGCCGAUCGGAUAGGCGUGGGUCUGCAAAACCCUUUAUGGCGGUUCAACUCCGCCCCGGACCU